UACGUAGGUGGCAAGCGUUGUCCGGAUUUACUGGGCGUAAAGAGCGCGCAGGCGGUCGUUCAAGUCGCGUGUGAAAGCCCCCGGCUCAACUGGGGAGGGUCACGCGAUACUGAUCGACUGGAAGGCAGGAGAGGGUAGUGGAAUUCCCGGUGUAGUGGUGAAAUGCGUAGAUAUCGGGAGGAACACCAGUGGCGAAGGCGACUACCUGGCCUGUUCUUGACGCUGAGGCGCGAAAGCGUGGGGAGCGAACAGG
rnacentral:rRNA from 1 species